rnacentral:rRNA from 1 species
UACGGAGGAUGCAAGCGUUAUCCGGAAUGAUUGGGCGUAAAGCGUCCGCAGGUGGCUAUGUAAGUCUGCUGUUAAAGAGCAAGGCUCAACCUUGUAAAGGCAGUGGAAACUACAUGGCUAGAGUGCGUUCGGGGCAGAGGGAAUUCCUGGUGUAGCGGUGAAAUGCGUAGAGAUCAGGAAGAACACCGGUGGCGAAAGCGCUCUGCUAGGCCGCAACUGACACUGAGGGACGAAAGCCAGGGGAGCGAAUGGG